rnacentral:sRNA from 1 species
AAACUCUCCCUAUUUAACUUUCUCUUUAUCAAACUCUCUUCUUAUCUGCAAACCGAGACCAUCACUACCACCAACUCGCCACUCCGACGAGAAUCACCACCACAAACCCAAAACAUCACCUCGUCUCUUGGCCGUGAAACCAGAAACAAGCACGGACUCACGAACUCAAACCCAGACACGAAGCCUUGUGCGGCACAAUAGCCACUACCACUGUUCACUGUCUCCUCUAGCGAAAUCUAUGUUUUUCCGACUAAAUGACAACUCACGGGAAGCUUUUCCAUAGAUUCUGGCAAAAGAAUUGUGGCUUUCAAGCCACAUCAAAUCAUUUUUUCAGCCGUCUCCAACAACUAUUGGCCCUCGAACUAGCAUUGUCCUCCGGAGUUACAUGAACAAGAGGUGGAAAACGAGCUUUUUAGGUGUCUAAGUAAUUCCAGUGAUGUACGGGGCUAAUUAACUGCGCCAAGGUAUAUGCAUUACUAUAAGAAGAUUAAACCACAACAGUUUUGGAACUCAAAUGGACAUAGGAAUGCUAUUCAAUGGAUUUUAGGAGAGAACUUAAUUUCUAGCUUUUAUUACUUUCAUUUAUUUUUCGUUUCUUUAAUAAGGACAUAAAGUCCAUUAAGAUUAUGAUUUUAGUGGGGUUUAGUUAGGAUUUUCUUGCCCUUUCCGUGGGUUUUAUAAGGAGAUUCACUAUCCUUGUUUGAUAGAGAAAGCCACCAAUAGCCACCAAAACAUAUCAUAUUGGCAGAGGUUGCGGCACAAGAAGGAAGAGUUUUUUUUUCCUUUGCUAGGGCAAUGAUGUAGUCUGAUCAUGAAUACUUAAUUGUCUUGUGGCAUUGUUAUUAUCAAUUUUAUAUUCCAUAUUGAGU